AACGAACGCUGGCGGCACGCUUAACACAUGCAAGUCGAACGGGCAGUAGCAAUACUGUCAGUGGCGAACGGGUGCGUACAAAGUAGGAACCUGCCCUUUGGUAGGGGAUAACUAUGGGAAACUAUAGCUAAUACCCUAUAAGCCCUGAGGGGGAAAGAUUAAUUGCCGAAGGAAGGGCCUACGUCGGAUUAGGUAGUUGGUAGGGUAAAGGCCUACCAAGCCAGAGAUCCGUAGCUGGUCUGAGAGGACGAUCAGCCACACUGGGACUGAGACACGGCCCAGACUCCUACGGGAGGCAGCAGUGGGGAAUAUUGGACAAUGGGGGCGAACCCUGAUCCAGCGAUGCCGCGUGAGUGAUGAAGGCCUCGGUUGUAAAGCUCUUUGUCACGCGACGAUGAUGACGGUAGCGUGAGAAUAAGCCCGGCUAACUCUGUGCCAGCAGCCGCGGUAAAGU
rnacentral:rRNA from 1 species